rfam:Hordeum vulgare subsp. vulgare, WGS project CAJW01000000 data, contig: morex_contig_1585636
CAAGUAUUCCCUCCGUCCGGAAUUACUUGUCACACAAAUGUAUAAAAAUGGAUGUAUCUAUAACUAAAAUACACCUAGCUAGAUACAUUCAUUCCUAUGACAAGUAUUUUCGGACGGAGGGAGUACAAU